UACAGAGGGUGCGAGCGUUGUCCGGAAUCACUGGGCGUAAAGGGCGCGUAGGGGGCCCUUCAAGUCUGUCGUCAAAGUCCGGGGCUUAACCCUGGAAAGGCGAUGGAAACUGAAAGGCUAGAGAGAGGUAGGGGUAGAGGGAAUUCCCAGUGUAGCGGUGAAAUGCGUAGAGAUUGGGAAGAACAUCGGUGGCGAAGGCGCUCUACUGGACCGCAUCUGACACUCAGGGACGAAAGCUAGGGGAGCAAAUGGG
rnacentral:rRNA from 1 species